rnacentral:rRNA from 1 species
AUUGAACGCUGGCGGCGUGCCUAACACAUGCAAGUCGAGCGGCAGCGCGGGAGCAAUCCUGGCGGCGAGCGGCGGACGGGUGAGUAACGCUUGGGAAUCUGCCUGUUAGUGGGGGACAACCCGGGGAAACUCGGGCUAAUACCGCAUACGCACUACGGUGGAAAGCCGGGGACCGCAAGGCCUGGCGCUAACAGAUGAGCCCAAGUCGGAUUAGCUAGUUGGUAGGUAACGGCCUACCAAGGCGACGAUCCGUAACUGGUCUGAGAGGACGACCAGUCACACCGGAACUGAGACACGGUCCGGACUCCUACGGGAGGCAGCAGUGGGGAAUAUUGGACAAUGGGGAAACCCUGAUCCAGCGACGCCGCGUGGGUGAAGAAGGCCUGCGGGUUGUAAAGCCCUUUCAGUGGGGGAAGAAAAGCCUCGACCUAACACGUCGGGGUCUUGACGUAACCCAUAGAAGAAGCACCGGCUAACUCUGUGACAGCAGCCGACCGU